UACGUAGGUGGCAAGCGUUGUUCGGAAUUAUUGGGCGUAAAGGGCGCGUAGGCGGCCAACUAAGUCAGACGUGAAAUCCCUCGGCUCAACCGGGGAACUGCGUCUGAUACUGGAUGGCUUGAAUUCGGGAGAGGGAUGCGGAAUUCCAGGUGUAGCGGUGAAAUGCGUAGAUAUCUGGAGGAACACCGGUGGCGAAGGCGGCAUCCUGGACCGAGAUUGACGCUGAUGCGCGAAAGCCAGGGGAGCAAACGGG
rnacentral:rRNA from 1 species